rnacentral:rRNA from 1 species
UGGGGAAUUUUGGACAAUGGGCGAAAGCCUGAUCCAGCAAUGCCGCGUGUGUGAAGAAGGCCUUCGGGUUGUAAAGCACUUUUGUCCGGAAAGAAAUGGCUCUGGUUAAUACCUGGGGUCGAUGACGGUACCGGAAGAAUAAGGACCGGCUAACUACGUGCCAGCAGCCGCGGUAAUACGUAGGGUCCAAUCGUUAAUCGGAAUUACUGGGCGUAAAGCGUGCGCAGGCGGUUGUGCAAGACCGAUGUGAAAUCCCCGGGCUUAACUUGGGAAUUGCAUUGGUGACUGCACGGCUAGAUUGUGGCAGAGGGGGGUAGAAUUCCACGUGUAGCAGUGAAAUACGUAGAGAUGUGGAGGCAUACCGAUGGCGAAGGCAGCCCCCUGGAAUAACACUGACGCUCAUGCACGAAAGCGUGGGGAGCAAACAGG